GUGCCAGCAGCCGCGGUAACACGUAGGGGGCGAGCGUUGUCCGGAUUUAUUGGGCGUAAAGAGCUCGUAGGCGGUUGCGUAAGUCGGACGUGAAAACUCAGGGCUCAACCCUGAGAUGCCGUUCGAUACUGCGCUGACUAGAGUCCGGUAGGGGAGCAUGGAAUUCCUGGUGUAGCGGUGAAAUGCGCAGAUAUCAGGAGGAACACCAGUGGCGAAGGCGGUGCUCUGGGCCGGAACUGACGCUGAGGAGCGAAAGCAUGGGUAGCAAACAGGAUUAGAAACCCCCGUAGUCC
rnacentral:rRNA from 1 species